rnacentral:rRNA from 1 species
GACAUGAGCAGCCGGCGUUAUACUUAGUAGUUGGGUGUAAAAGAUACAUAGGGGUGUAUUAAUUUUUCUAAAAACCUAAUAUUUUAGUUUAUCAUAUACAUUAUUAUUGUAGAAAAGCGCGUGCUGGUUUUCUGGAGAGAUUAAAUUCAGAGAAUUUUAAAAAGCUAUCGAUUAUGAAGAUAACGCACUAGCUACAAUUGAACCUGGUGUAUGAAAGCAUAGGCAACGACAAGGACCCUACCUAGUAGACUAUGCUGUGAAAAAUGGUUGAUAAAGAUUUACGUAAGACAGACCUACCUGGGUAGUAAUGGCGCAAGUCCGAAACUUAAUGAGAUUGGCGGGGUUUUCAUCUAGUAGUGGAACAUGUGGUUUAAUGCGAUAAUCCCCGCAAAAUCUUACCAAGAUAUUUUGCCCACAUGACGUAACCUAGAUUGUUACUGCAAUGGGCUAAUAGGUGUUGCAUGGCCAACGUAAGUCCGUGAUUUAAAUCAUAAAGUUUAAUCUAUUUAACGGACGAAACCCCAAUAUGUGUAAUACGUACUCCGUAACCACACAAUAUUGAAACGUUUCCGAGAGUUUCUACAGUAGUAGAAAAGGGAGGAACGCUAUUAGGGCAGAAGUUAGGUCUUUACGGCCCUCAUAUUUUGGGCUACUCACGUGUUAUAAUGGAGAAAUCAAACGGAGGCGACCCUUAAAGGAAAGCAAAUCCGCAAAUAUCUCCUAAGUUCUAAGCGCUUGUUGUAACUUAUAAGCGCGAAGCAAGAAUUGCUAGUAAUCGUUUAAUAAUAUGAAACGGUGAAUAGGUCAUUCAACCUGCACACACCGCCCAUCACGCUC